rnacentral:rRNA from 1 species
UACGUAGGUGGCAAGCGUUGUCAGGAAUUAUUGGGCGUAAAGCGCGCGCAGGCGGUCCUUUAAGUAUGAUGUGAAAGCCCACGGCUCAACCGUGGAGGGUCAUUGGAAGCUGGGGGACUUGAGUGCAGAAGAGGAGAGUGGAAUUCCACGUGUAGCGGUGAAAUGCGUAGAGAUGUGGAGGAACACCAGUGGCGAAGGCGACUCUCUGGGCUGUAACUGACGCUGAGGCGCGAAAGCGUGGGGAGCAAACAGG